UGGGGAAUAUUGGACAAUGGGCGAAAGUCUGACCGAGCAACGCCGCGUGAGUGAAGAAGGUUUUCGGAUCGUAAAACUCUGUUGGUAGAGAAGAACGUUGGUGAGAGUGGAAAGCUCAUCAAGUGACGGUAACUACCCAGAAAGGGACGGCUAACUACGUGCCAA
rnacentral:rRNA from 1 species